GUGAUAAGGGAAUCCAGAGUGCUCAUGUUUUACAUGGGCUUUUGCCAAAGGUAAAUACUUUGGAGAAUAAGUGGUGGGUAAGACUGGUGCCAGCCGCCGCGGUAACACCAGCGCCACAAGUGGGAAUCAGGUUUAUUUGGCCUAAAGCGUCCGUAGCAGGUUCUAUAAAUUUCUUGUAAAAUUGUUGUGCUUAACGCAGCACGCGCAGGAAAGACUGUAGAACUCGGAAUUGGAAGGGGUAAACGGUAUUUCUGGGGGAGCGGUAAAAUGUUAUAAUCCCAGGAGGACCACCGGUGCCGAAGGGGGUUUACCAGUACAAAUUCGACUGUGAGGGACGAAAGCUAGGGGAGCAAAACGGAUUAGAUACCCGUGUAGUCCUAGCCGUAAACACUGUGUGCUAGAUAUGGCGCAAACUCCGAGUUUACGCCGUAUCGAAUCGAAGGAGUUAAGCACACCGCCUGGGAAGUAUA
rnacentral:rRNA from 1 species